rnacentral:rRNA from 1 species
AAAGCUUGCUUCUUUGCUGGCGACCGGCGCACGGGUGAGUAACACGUAUCCAACCUACCCUUUACUCGGGGAUAGCCUUUCGAAAGAAAGAUUAAUACCCGAUAGCAUAAUGAUUCCGCAUGGUUUCAUUAUUAAAGGAUUCCGGUAAAGGAUGGGGAUGCGUUCCAUUAGGUUGUUGGUGGGGUAACGGCCCACCAAGCCUUCGAUGGAUAGGGGUUCUGAGAGGAAGGUCCCCCACAUUGGAACUGAGACACGGUCCAAACUCCUACGGGAGGCAGCAUG